CAGUAGAGAGCCCAAUGCAGGGCUCAAACCCACUAACUGUGAGAUCAUGACCUGAACCAAAACCAAGAGUUGGAUGCUUAACCAACUGAGCCACCCAGGAGCCCCAACAAAGUGCUGUUUUUUAGAUGCAAAUUUACAGUCUGAAGGGAACAGAGAAGUAAACAUUUUCUUGUGCACUGGAAGUACCUGAGAAAAAACUUUUUUGUGUAUCAUUGUUUUGCCUUAGUAACAACUCCAAAGAGUGAUACGUGAAUUGAGCUUACACUAACCACUUAGUCAACUGAAAACCAGAUUUUCAAGGAAUAACUAAUUAGGGACUUCUCUUCCACCAGAUUUUCAAGGAAUAACUAAUUAGGCACUUCUCUUCCUACAUAGUAUAUUUGCUAGAAAAUAACAUAUAAUUACCUUGAAAUACUUAAAUAAUUGGGUAGCAUCCUCACAUCCUUCAAGAUUUUGUUCAAAUGGCACCUUCUCAAGAGACUCACUCUGAUUAUUCUAUUCAGUACUGUAAUUGCCCUUCUCCUGAACCAUCAUACCCCAAUCUGGUUUCUCCGCCAUAAAAAUUAUUACCUUCUAGCAUACUUUAUUUUUUUUCAUUUAUUUUGUUUACUGUUUACUGUCUAUUUUUCUCCCUCCAGAAUACAAGAGGGCAGAGAUUUCUAACCUGCCUUGGUGUAUCUCAAGGGCCCCUAGAACAGGGGCUGUCACAAGGCAAACCAAUUCAAUAAAGCAGAUUUUUCCCCCUUGAACUGGAAGUAUGGACUCAGCUUGACCCUUUUGAUCUUCCUUGUUUCCUGCCCAAUUUAGGUGAUCUCAGAGGAUUUGCAAAGGAUUUGGAAACCACUCCAACAACCACUGAUGAUCUGGACUUUCCUUUAAAAUUCCUGUAACAACCAGUCUUAAAGUAAUGUUUCUUUAAGAAAAGGGUAGUAAUUCAUCUUUGUAUAUCUUUGUGUAUAUAUAGGUAACAGGAAGAGGCUCCUGGAAAUUUGGCUUCUAAAUAGCAUUAUUCAUUGUGACUGUCAGGAAGUGCUUUUUGGCAGUUUGUGAGAGGGAAAGUUCCAAAGAAUGAGGGAGAUCCACUUGUUCAGAUAGCUUAACUUAUGCUUCUAACAUUAAAAGAAAUAUUCGUUCUUCUCAGGUCCUCAAAUAGCUCUGUAUACCCAAAAGACCUUUGACUUCCCCCAGCCGAGGAAUAAGUGAUCAUAUGUUCAACUAGAUGAUUUAUUAAGUAGUUCAGGUCUUCAGCCAGCUGUCCUAAGCCAAGGAAUUUGCACUGAAGAAUUACAGUGUUUGGAAAUCACUGAAUUAAAAAGCAAAAACAAAACUGCAGUGCCUAAGGUCAUAUUUCCCUUAAAAUUAGUGUCUUAUUGCUUGUCCUUUUGGUAGAGAGAGAGAGAGAGAGAGGGAGAGAGAGAGAAUGGUUUCAUUCAAUUUCAGUCAUAUAUUACUAAAAGCACCAAUGAGAUUCUUCUUUAUGUGGGACUCUUAUACAUGGUAUAAAGCUAUAACUUUUCAGAAUGGAUGUUUUCAAGGUUUGCGACAGUAAGGAAUAUAAACAAGGCAAUAACAGUUGCCAUUUUUCAAGACAUCUCUUUACACAUUCAAAUUAUAUCUUAUACAAAAUGUGUAUUCUACUAAGUGCAGUUUUCCCUUUUCUGCUUGACUUUUUUGCCUAUGAAUUGCUGUGUGCCUAUGACCACAGGAUAGCUCACUCAGAAUAGUAGCAGCUGAAGUAAUCUCCAGUAAUUGUUAGUCUUUACUUUCCACCAAGUAAUGUGCAGGGAUGCUGCCAGAGUUGUGAACCGAGAGCAGGGUUCCCUUUCAUCUUAAAUAACUUUUUUUAUUACAUAGCUCAGAUAUAGACCAGAAAAUUUGACUACUAAGACAAAUGGUAAUUGAGGAAAUUAAAACAACUCAUAUGUUAUAUGAAGUUUCUAAGCAAUAUUUUAUUUUUUGGCCUGAAUUACCUGGUCAACUGACCCAGUUCUCCAUUUCAUUUUCUAGACUUGGCAGUCUAAAGUCAGUAGACAUUUGGAGAAAAUUAAAUUACUCCAUUCAAGGAGACAAUCAAAUUUAGAUUGGACUACACUACUGCCAGAGGGAUGAAAAUCCCUAAAUUGGUCAGUUGUGAUUUUCGUUCACAGGGAAAUCCUCAUUCACAAGCUAACCAUAGAAUUUUUGCAGAUAGCUAGUGACAACAUUUGCCAGAAAUCUUCUGUUAAACUUAGGGAAAAGCUAUUUUUGAGGCUAUGUCAACCUAAAAGAAUUAUGUGAUGGCUUGUUAUGACUGUCUUUGUAGUGAUUAUUUGUUGAGAUAAAAGAAUGCAGUUAUCUGACUGACAGUCAGCAGGGCAUCCAUUUUGAAUUGCUUCCCUAGGAGAGCAGUUGGAUUUGCACUGACCUGUAUGUACUUGCUGUGACCAGUGGUAUUCUUUGUGAGAGGACUGAAUGAAGUUAGGAGUCAUUCAUUGUGUUGGGAAGGGAGAGAAGCUGACUGAUCCAAAAGAAAGCCAGAAUUUUAACUGAUGCAUGUGAGGACAAUUUGAUUUGGCACUUGCCCUCUUAUUGUUUAUAAAGAGUAAUGUCGUGACCUA